rnacentral:tRNA from 2 species
CAGGAUAAAACUUAUUAGUUAGGUAUUUCAUUUACACUGAACUUUAUUCUGUGCAAUUCAGGAUGUCUUGA